CAGUAGCCGCGGUAAUACGGAGGAUCCAAGCGUUAUCCGGAAUCAUUGGGUUUAAAGGGUCCGUAGGCGGUCUUGUAAGUCAGUGGUGAAAGCCCAUCGCUCAACGGUGGAACGGCCAUUGAUACUGCAGGACUUGAAUUAUUGGGAAGUAACUAGAAUAUGUAGUGUAGCGGUGAAAUGCUUAGAGAUUACAUGGAAUACCAAUUGCGAAGGCAGGUUACUACCAAUUGAUUGACGCUGAUGGACGAAAGCGUGGGUAGCGAACAGGAUUAGAUACCCGCGUAGUCCCUGUCUCUUAUAA
rnacentral:rRNA from 1 species